GAUGAACGCUGGCGGCGUGCCUAAUACAUGCAAGUCGAGCGAAUGGAUUAAGAGCUUGCUCUUAUGAAGUUAGCGGCGGACGGGUGAGUAACACGUGGGUAACCUGCCCAUAAGACUGGGAUAACUCCGGGAAACCGGGGCUAAUACCGGAUAACAUUUUGAACCGCAUGGUUCGAAAUUGAAAGGAGGCUUCGGCUGUCACUUAUGGAUGGACCCGCGUCGCAUUAGCUAGUUGGUGAGGUAACGGCUCACCAAGGCAACGAUGCGUAGCCGACCUGAGAGGGUGAUCGGCCACACUGGGACUGAGACACGACCCAGACUCCUACGGGAGGCAGCAGUAGGGAAUCUUCCGCAAUGGACGAAAGUCUGACGGAGCAACGCCGCGUGAGUGAUGAAGGCUUUCGGGUCGUAAAACUCUGUUGUUAGGGAAGAACAAGUGCUAGUUGAAUAAGCUGGCACCUUGACGGUACCUAACCAGAAAGCCACGGCUAACUACGUGCCAGCCGCCGCGGUAA
rnacentral:rRNA from 1 species